UACGUAGGUGGCAAGCGUUGUCCGGAUUUACUGGGCGUAAAGAGCGCGCAGGCGGUCGUUCAAGUCGCGUGUGAAAGCCCCCGGCUCAACUGGGGAGGGUCACGCGAUACUGAUCGACUCGAAGGCAGGAGAGGGUAGUGGAAUUCCCGGUGUAGUGGUGAAAUGCGUAGAUAUCGGGAGGAACACCAGUGGCGAAGGCGGCAUCCUGGACCAACACUGACGCUGAUGAGCGAAAGCCAGGGGAGCAAACGGG
rnacentral:rRNA from 1 species